rnacentral:lncRNA from 1 species
CAAAAAUAAGGCCUUUUAUCUUUAAAAUUCUUUUUAAAGAAUAACAUAAGACCUCUUUCAAAAAUAUUUUUGUUCACUUUGUGUUGUAUAUUCCCCAAACUAGGCAACAACAUCACAAAGUUUGGUUUUUGAGAUUUUUGUAAAGAAGAGUGAUCAUUAUAUAAUUGAAAAGAAGAGUUCAAAGUAUUGCAAUCCCCCUUUAAGGAGUCUU